CCGUAUACUCUUCAGCCGCAGGGGAGGGGAACAUUUGAAAGGUUCAGAUUUUACAUCUUAGGUAUUGUUCAUCAUCUUCUUGAACACCAAAACAAGACCAAAAACCCUAGAACCCAUGGCUACUUCUUCUUCUUAUUGAACAAACCACCAGCCUAACCACGACUCUCAUUGCACAACCAUCACCCUCAACCACGCCUGUCGCCAACCCUCGUCACAGCAACGAGCCAGAAACUCAUGCUCCUUCACGUCCACAAACCCGCCUUUUCGGUUGCCAGCAACCUCCCGUCACGCCACCAACGACAUCCAAACAACCUCCACCAGUCCAGCUCCUCUCCUCCAAAUGACCAUCGUCCUCCUCGUCGUCCCUCACCCUCACGAAAACAAAACCAAAUGAACUACUAUCGUCCACAAACCCACCAUUUAUGUCGUCCAUACAACCUUCAGCUAGCCCUUAUCCGGCUCGCCAAUGCCACCAGUCAAUACACCAGACCACCCUUUACCCGUCGUCGAAGGUCAUGGAUCGAGGUUUUGGUUCGAGGUCUUCUGGUUGGAGGUACGUUCGAGUUCGUCGUUGUUUAAGUCGUUGGUCGAGGUUCUGUUCGUUGGUUGCCGAGGUUAGAAGGUUACUGUUACUUCUUUCCAUUUCUCUUGUCUAAAUAAAUUAGAUUUUGUGAAUAAUUUGUGUUUGUAAUCCUAUGCAUGAUAGCUAAAUAUUCAGCUUAUUUGGAUGAAAUACUUGGUGUUUGAGCAUGUUAUUGCUAUUUGCCAAUUUUUGGAUUCUAACGGAAUAUAGUAUACUACUGUUUUCUUCGAUGUGCUUCUGAGUUACAUCCAAAGUUUAAUUUUGUUCUUUCAUGUUUGGUGAUUUAUUUUUUAAGAUGCCUACUAUCAUCAGCUAAGCUUUUAGACAUUAUAAAAAUAUGAAUUCAAUUCCUGAUAUGGAGUUAGGACAACUUGUAGAUUCAUUAUUACCCAAUAUUCACCUUUUCCCUAAUUUAUUUGCAAAAUUUGCUCAAGCGUUAGAAAGUAUUUAAUCAAUUCAUGAAAUAUCGUAGUCUGGCUUAGUUAAGUUAUAAAUCGUUAGGUAUAAUUUGAAGUAUGCCAUAUUAGAUAAUGCAAAUAGUGCAUGGACCUCAUUUAAGUAAUCUUGAAUCCUUAGGACUCGAGGCGUGCCGUUUAGCAAAUUCCACGGCUCUCGCAAAGUUACAACGCGAAAGUGCUUUAGGCGUGUUAGUUUAAUAAUAUUACCUUCUUAAAACUCGGGUGGCAUUGAUGCGACCCAAAUCCAAAUCUUGAUGAAGUCAAAAUGUCUCGAUGACUACGGGUGCCUUGAUGGUGACGUGGUCAAAGACGUGUUUUCACGACGUUGCAAGUCCUUUAAAAUAAAUAAUGGUAAAAGCGGGUUUGUAAAUAAAAGGCACGUAAGUUAGCAUUUAUUAAAAUUAGAUAAAAUCAAAUGCAAUAGUUGAGCGACCGUGCUAGAAUCAGGGAACCCGCGAAUGCCUAACACCUUCUCUCGGGUUAACAGAAUUCCUUAUCCGGAUUUCUAGUUCGCAGACAAUGAACAAAGUCAUCUUUUUCCUUGGUUCUGGAUUCAAUCGGUGACUUGGGACACCACUAAUCUCCAAAGUAGAGACUCUGAAUAAUUAAUAACUAUAUCCUGUUCCGAUUGUUCUUUAAUUGGAAAAACUCCUUUCCGCCCCUUUGCAGGGGUGUACAGCGAAAAAGGAGGUGUGACAGCUCUGGCGACUCCGCUGGGGAAAAGAACCCAGAUUGUUUUGUUCAGGGUUCAAAAUUCGAUCUUAGAUAAAUGUAUUUGGUUAUAUCUAAUUUUCUUACAUGUUGUGUGUGCUAAAUGUUACCGCUUUAAUAUUAUCUAAAUUGUAUAUAAACUGUGCCGACACCCUUCUCUCUCUACCUCCGGGGAUGUGCUUACUGGUAGAGACUCCCUAUUCUGUUAGUGUCAUACACUGAAAUAAGAAAGAGGCUCGGACAAGUUACGAAGCCAGAAGGCCUUUUGGUUCCCGAUAAUUUUCCCCCUCCUCGACUCGAGUUGUCCGCUCGGGUACACUGUCGAGAACACAAACCCAGGUUUUGAACCUAGAAUAAAUUGACUUCAUGCCGGAUCCCUAGUAGGAACGCUUAUUCGUAUCAUGUUGCAUUUGAAUUGAGAGACUCAACACAAGCGUUGGGUCCGUCUAGGACAAGCAACCUAAAAUGAACAUACCAUCUUGAUGCAUCCUAUGUGCUACAUGUUGCAUUUAUUCAAGGGUAAAAGGUAAUUUCGCGGACCAAUGAUAGUUGAGGGCAAAUGAAAAUGAAAAAUAAAAAAUAAAGAAAAAGAAGGACAAAGAAAAAGAGGGUGAAGUGUGAAUAUAAAGCAAGUAUGGCCUAGUUAUGUCUUUGUUUUUUUUAUUUAGAAAAAAAAAGGCAUGGAAAAUUCAAAAAGAUUUUGCAUUUUUAAAAAAUCAUUUUGUGAAAGUCAAAAAUCAAAAAAAAGAGGGAAAAAGAAAAUUCAAAAAAGGUUUUUCAUGUUUCAUCAUUUUUCAAGAAAAAACAAAAAAAGUAUAUAUGUUUUCUCUAAAUUAGUUGUUUUUUAAUUCCCAUCCGUUCCCAAUCUGCCCGAACUACGCAUACCUGAUUCUCGUCUUUCGGGGCGUGAUAUGUAGGCAACCCACAUAGGGUCCGGUCUUCUUAGUAAAUUUUAGGUUUUUGGCUUUGCGGGAUCUUAGCCAAAUUUUACACUUCUAGCCACCUUUUGGCCAAAUAAACCAUUUUGCAAAGAUAGCCUAAUCAUGUCUUGCGUGUGUGUAAUAGGGAAUGUUUUUAUCUCACAUAGUGUUGGUUUAAGUUUUCUCAUACAUGUAUGGAUUUACUUACCGGUGUUUGAGCAGGACAUAGCCUAGGACAUCUAGUCAGGAUCGUCCAUUCAGGAGUGGAUUAAAAAAAGAUUUCCUUUUCUUAUUUUUGACUCUCUUUGUCUUUUAUGUCAUUUUUUUACCUUAGUUUUAUAUAGUAACGUCGAGUUUUGUUAUUAUUAUUGUACCUUUUAUUUUUCAAGGCUGUGUAAUAAAUCAAAAUCCAAAAAAAAGAUGUUGCAUUUUAUAUUUUCGUUAUAAGUUUUCUUUAGAAUACUAAUUGUAGAAAUGAAAAAAAUGGUUUUGAGGUGGUUUUUCCUUUAGGCAAUUAAUAUCUAGGACUAAAAAGAGGCUAUUUCUCUAUUUCCUUUAUUAUAUUAAGACUAAAAUCCAAAAAAAAAAAAAUAAAGAGAGAAUUUUGUAUUAGUAUCUCUUUAUGAGUUUUCUUUUUAGGUGUUAAUUCAAAAUUCAAAAUGAUUUUCUUUUGAGCUGUUUCUUUGGAAAAUUAGCAAAAAUGAAAGAAAGAUUCUUUUUGUUUCUACUAGAAUGUUAGGAUAUUGUACAUAGAAGAAAGAAAAAAAACGUAUUUUAUCUUUGGUUUAUUUCAGAGUUCCUCCCUUAGGUAAUCAAGUUAAAAUUUGUUUUAUCUUUUUCAUGGUUUGUUUCGAGGUCUUGCAUUACGAUAUCAAAUGAAGAUUUAAAAUAUUUUUUCUGUGAUUUAUUCUUUUGAUUUUAUUCCUUAAAAAAGGGUAAAAAGAUAAUAUUUUUCUCUUCUAGGAUUUUUUCUUAAUAGAGUAUUUGCUUCGAAAAAUUAAGUUUGGAUUUUUAGGAUUUUUCCUUAAUAGAGUAUUUGCUUCUAGGAUUU
rnacentral:lncRNA from 1 species